UGAUGCGUUCACCCAAUAGCCAGGACAAGAGGGACGUCAUGGAACAAGCUUACCAAACUGAUCACCUCUGUGAAUCAGCCCUUGACUGCAAUACCGGAGUACAGAGCGCUCAAAACUUGGUCAACAUCUCCAUGAAGACACAGUUUUUACAAUGGAUU